AAAAGCUUACCAAGGCGACGAUGGGUAGCCGGCCUGAGAGGGUGAACGGCCACACUGGAACUGAGACACGGUCCAGACUCCUACGGGAGGCAGCAGUGGGGAAUAUUGCACAAUGGAGGAAACUCUGAUGCAGCGACGCCGCGUGAGCGAAGAAGGCUUUCGAGUCGUAAAGCUCUGUCCUAAGAGAAGAAGAAGUGACGGUAACUUAGGAGGAAGCCCCGGCUAACUACGUGCCAGCAGCCGCGGUAAUACGUAGGGGGCUAGCGUUGUCCGGAAUUACUGGGCGUAAAGGGUGAGUAGGUGGUCAUUAAAGUCAGAUGUAAAAGGCAAUGGCUCAACCAUUGUAAGCAUUUGAAACUUAAUGACUUGAGUGCAGGAGAGGUAAAUGGAAUUCCUAGUGUAGCGGUGAAAUGCGUAGAUAUUAGGAAGAACACCAGUGGCGAAGGCGAUUUACUGGACUGUAACUGACACUGAGUCACGAAAGCGUGGGGAGCGAACAGGAUUAGAUACCCUGGU
rnacentral:rRNA from 2 species